rnacentral:rRNA from 1 species
CGGCAACAGCUCAAAUUUGAAAUCUGGCGUCUUCGACGUCCGAGUUGUAAUUUGCAGAGGGCGCUUUGGCAUUGGCAGCGGUCCAAGUUCCUUGGAACAGGACGUCACAGAGGGUGAGAAUCCCGUAUGCGACUUGGUGUCUAUGUUCAUGUGAAGCUCCUUC